rnacentral:lncRNA from 2 species
CUUAAAUAUUUUAAUGUGAAUAUAUUUAGGGGCAAUAUCAGGAGUAUAAUUAAAAAGUGUUAGUUGCUUAGUCAUGUUGACUCUGUGACCCCAUGGACUAUAGCCUGCCAGGUUCCUCUGUCCAUGGAAUUCUUCAGAGAAUACUGGAGUAGGUUGCCAUUUCCAACCAUGAAUCUUGACUGGGGACAGCUAUACCCUUUGGACAGAAGUAACUGCUUUCAUCAACUGAGUGAAGAUCACUGGUCUUCGCAGCUUUCUCGUCCUAGCACAGGAGACCAUCGAGGGUGCGUGCAUUAAUCAACUGAGCAGAAGAUCUGGGAGGACAUCACUCAACGAAUCUUCAAGAUACUAUUACCAUGUGCUUGAUUCUAAUUUAAAUAAUUUGGAGUUCUUAUAAGAUUAGGAAGUUUUGAAAAGUAGAAUGUCGACACAAAGAGAGUGAAAAGAAAAUUUGGGGGAGCAUUUUACAAAAUGUUUCUUCUAAAGAACAACAUGCUUUUAUAGGCCUGAACUGAUUUAAAAAAACUUAUUAGAUAUAAAUGAGAAGCAUGUGCUUCUGGUGGUAUUAUACUCAAAGGAUUUUAGUUAAGUAAUGUCUAAACUUUCAGAGUAUUUGAAAUAUACCCAGUUGGACAGUUAAUGAACCCUCUUCAACUUAAAGUAGAGAACUGCUACAAGAGAAAAAAAUGCACAAAAAAAGUUAUGGAAGAGACAAAUGGAUAUUGAAAUCUUUUCCAGUGUUCCCAUUCCAAUGAUUUUUAGGAGUUAUAGUUAAAGAAGUACAGCUUUCCUUCCAUCCCUGAAAUUGGUUUCUUGCAUAACACAUUAUUUUGAAUGUCAGCAAUAAGCCCUUGAACUUCUUUAGACCAAAGACCAAGAUUGAGAAUAGAGUGAAUGCCUAUUUCAGUUCUAGAAACGAAGGCAUCGUAGUAUAAUAGAAGGCAAGUGAAAGAUAAAUACAUUUGUUUUUCCAUCUGCUAAGACAUAACUAAAACAUUCUUCCCAUUUUUUCCUUAAUAUUUUGUUUCCUGGCAACUAAUAACAAAAAUUCCCAAUCAACCACAUCUUUCACAAUUCUUGGUUCUUUAAAAAAAAGCAGCACUAAUACUGUUAGUUAGAUUUCUAAUAUAUAAAAUUAUUUUCAAAAAAGUACUAUAUAUUAAAAAGUUAUAUAUAUUAUAUACACAGGCAUACAUACAUAAAAUUAUAUGUGUAUGUAUAGU